AAAAUUUUAUUUAGAACCCAAUUGAAAUGAAUUUUGAACCUAUUAAAUUAUACCAAAAAAGUAUUAUAUAUUUUUUUUUAUAUAUAUAAAACAAAACAAAACAAAAUAAACUUCAUCAGUUGCGUCCUCCCCCCCCUCCCCCCUUCACGCAUCCUUUCCCGAUCUCCCCCUCCCUAUUCUUUUCUUUCCCUUCUUCUCUGGCAAGGGCCUAAGCCGGUUAACAGGACAACCACCCAUUGGCCACCGGAGCUACUCCAGACGGCGAGAGGUGGCAGCAGCAUAAGUUGAAGAGAGAGAGAGAGAGAGAGAGAGCGCUUAAGUGAGUUGGAGGCCAACUCUGGCCACUACACUGUCGGAUGGAGGUGGAGGAAGCCGGUGAACCUUCCUGGAUGAUAAGGACCCCAGUUCCCUGCCAAGCAAGCCGAAAUCCAUGGAGCUUUCCGGUAAGAUCAGGAGGAGAGAGAAAAUGUUGGGUAGCGAGCAUUCUGACCAUUUUCUCGGCUAUUUGACUGUCGGAUCGGAAAUCCGAGACCACCAAUGGACUCAGGACGGUGAAAUCUUUGAGAUAAGAUUGGUCCCACACCGAUUAGACACAGUUCGAAAAAGACGAUCAUUGAACGGUCCAUAUCGCUUAGUGAGAAUUUCAAGUUUUUUCAACUCUGAAAAAUUAAGAAAUAAUUUUAUGAUAAUUAUUGAAAAUUUUUGGGCAUCAUGUAGGUGUGAUCGGAUCGAUAAUAGCUCAUCGACGCCCGGGACUGAAUUUUCGGCAGACCUGGCUACCUGAUGGCUCAUCCUGAAAUCUAGUCAAUAUUACAGUUGAUUCUAGCAUUUUCAGACACUCUGGACACGUUCCAGGUGUUAGAUUUGACAUAGGUAAUCAGGGUCAACCAGCUUCCUUCACCCAAUCUCUACAGUCGUCUCUGGUGUACUGCUACAGGAGGAGUUCUUUUACCGAAUAACCUGCUUUCUUCCUUGCAAGUUUAACGUCGGUUAUUUAAUUGUUUUAUAUUUUUUUCUAAAUUUGAAAUCUAGAACUCCGCAUGUGUUAGUAGUAAUAUGGAUCUUGUUAGAAAUCAUUUUAAUUUAAAUUCUUGAGAUUAAUAAAUAAAGAUUUGUUUGAUAUUUAAACAAUUUAUUAGUAAUGGUAUCAGGAUUAAGCGGGGCUCCCCUGUCUUCAGUUUUUGAAGA